rnacentral:tRNA from 1 species
AAUGAAGUGCCUGAAAAAAAGGGCUAUCUUGAUAGGAUAGCCAAUGUAGCCUACCCUACCUUCAUUA